rnacentral:rRNA from 1 species
UACGCAGGGAGCAAGCGUUGUCCGGAAUCAUUGGGCGUAAAGCGCGCGUAGGUGGCUUCGUAAGUCCGUUGUGAAAGUCAAAGGCUCAACCUUUGAAAGCCGAUGGAUACUGUGGAGCUAGAGUACGGAAGAGGCGAGUGGAAUUCCUGGUGUAGCGGUGAAAUGCGCAGAUAUCAGGAGGAACACCGAUGGCGAAGGCAGGUCUCUGGGCCGAUACUGACGCUGAGGAGCGAAAGCGUGGGGAGCGAAUGGG